rnacentral:rRNA from 1 species
GACGAACGCUGGCGGUGUGCUUAACACAUGCAAGUCGAACGGAAAGGCCUCUAUCGGGGGGUACUCGAGUGGCGAACGGGUGAGUAACACGUGAGUAACCUGCCCUUGACUUUGGGAUAACUUCAGGAAACUGGGGCUAAUACCGGAUAGGAGCUCCUGCUGCAUGGUGGGGGUUGGAAAGUUUCGGCGGUUGGGGAUGGACUCGCGGCUUAUCAGCUUGUUGGUGGGGUAGUGGCUUACCAAGGCUUUGACGGGUAGCCGGCCUGAGAGGGUGACCGGCCACAUUGGGACUGAGAUACGGCCCAGACUCCUACGGGAGGCAGCAGUGGGGAAUAUUGCACAAUGGGUGGAAGCCUGAUGCAGCAACGCCGUGUGCGGGAUGACGGCCUUCGGGUUGUAAACCGCUUUCGCUCAUGACGAAGCUUUGUGUGACGGUAGUGGGUAAAGAAGCACCGGCUAACUACGUG